rnacentral:siRNA from 1 species
AUACUCGCUGGUUUACCAGUCAUA